rnacentral:lncRNA from 10 species
GUCUUCGGGCGCUGGCGGAGGAAGCCAUGGCGUCAACACCCGGCGCCGCGAAGACGGCGUAAAGAGGUAGAUAUUUGGACCUCGUUUCACAGACAAAGAAACUAGGCCCAGGAAAGUGGCGUUGCUCUCAAGGUCACGCAGCUACAACGGGAAACGGGCUGAGCCGGGACUCAAACCAAUUACCCAGAUUGAGAAUUCCGGGCUCCGAAAAAAACUGGAAACAGAAAGGGAGGGAAAAAAAACCAUAACCAGGGUCUGCCCAAGUGGAAAGGUGGUCUCGAAUAGAAUAGAACUGUUUUGUGCUAUGGAAGAGCAAGGGUGAGAUGAGGGGAAAUGGGAGUGACUGCUAAUAGGUAUGGGAUUUCGUUUUGGGAUAAUAAAAAUGUUCUAAAAAAUGUAUUAUAGUGAUGAAUACACAACUCUAAAUAUGCUAAAAGACAUUCAACUUUACACGUUAAGUGAGUGAAUCAUAUGGCGUGUGAAUUAUAUCUCAAGUUAUUAAAAAAU